rnacentral:rRNA from 1 species
GAGAGGAACCGUUGAUUCACAUAAUUGGUAUUUGCGCCUGUCCGAUCGGGCAAUGGCGCGAAGCUACCAUGUGCUGGAUUAUGGCUGAACGCCUCUAAGCCAGAAUCCGUGCUAGAAACGAUAAUGUUAUAUCCCGCGCAUCUAAGUUGCGUAAAGAUAGAGCUUCGGCUCGCAUACCAUAUUUGUAGUGAUCCUCAAUAAGCGGAAAUGCUUGUUGGGAUGCUGCUAAUUGCCUUUAAACAUACGCGGGGGUGAAUCCUUUGCAGACGACUUAAAUGGAACGGGGUACUGUAAGCGGU